rnacentral:lncRNA from 1 species
ACUAUGUGAAUGCAGAAAUCAAGACACAUCUAGGUGAUUUUCAAAACGAAGCAAAGACAACAAUCUAGUUUAACAAAAGCGAAGAGAUCUUAGAAAUGAAAGCAAGAGAGAAACAAGCUAAGGACAGAGUGUAGAAUUGUAAGGAAGAAGAAGGAGAUGCACAAAAACCAUUAAUGUUUCAGUUGUUUAAAUACAUAAAACGAGGCCUUCAAUGUCAUGUUGUGAAGAAAGUCAAUGCCCAUCCCAUCAUAUUCUCAACAGCCUUUUUUUACUUCAAUGAUGUUAGAGUUACUUUGCACCUUCGAAUUGCAUUCCUCACAGAUGCAACAUAUGCCGUGUGAUCGAAGUAUGAG